rnacentral:tRNA from 1 species
GGGGUGGUAGCUCAAUUGGGAGAGCGCUUGAAUCGCAUUCAAGAGGUUGUGAGUUCGAUCCUCAUCCACUCCA